rnacentral:lncRNA from 1 species
UUUGUUUUUUUUUAAUCUUUGAAAUUGAAGUUAAUUUCCUGUAUCCUUACUAGUUUCGUUUUCAGAGAUCUAUCACUGUUAAUUAAAUACAAUUGGAUCGGUUUUGUAGUAUUCAUUUAAUAUAGAAUGUGCACACCUUUGCUUAAAAGAAAAACUGUUAAAUAAUUUCCUUAGACAUUUUAUAGCCUACCCACAUAAUAAAAGAAAUCUCAAGAAAGACACUAGAAGAGAUGUCAGAAGAUUCAGAAGAGGAAGACUAUUCAGAUAGAAGUAUCAGUGAUGACGAUGAGUUGGAUGAGGAUUCAUUCAUGAAAUUUGUAAGUGAUGAUAUUCAUCAGUGUACACUACUAACAGCUGAUUCUAUUGGUGACCCAUUCUUUCCUCGGACUACACAGAUUUUAUUGGAGUAUCAGCUAGGAAGAUGGGUACCACGCCUUCGAGAACCACGAGAUUUAUAUGGCGUCUCUUCUUCUGGUCCGCUGAGCCCAACACGGUGGCCAUACCACUGUGAGGUCAUUGAUGAAAAAGUCCAGCAUAUUGAGUGGACUCCUUUUGUUCCUGAGCCGGUCUAUGUCCCAACAGGCCUGGAAAUAGAACCUGUUUACCCAAACUCCAAGGAAGACACCGUGGUUUACCUAGCUGAAGAUGGUGGGCAUAUUCUCUAAAACAUUCCUGUAAAAUAUGGUUGGCAUCUUGAUGUCAAAACAUGAGAGUUAUGGGACCCUUAUGAAUAUUUCAUCAUCAGA